UGCGGAAGGAUCAUUACCUAGAGUUGUAGGCUUUGCCUGCUAUCUCUUACCCAUGUCUUUUGAGUACCUUCGUUUCCUCGGCGGGUCCGCCCGCCGAUUGGACAAUUUAAACCAUUUGCAGUUGCAAUCAGCGUCUGAAAAAACUUAAUAGUUACAACUUUCAACAACGGAUCUCUUGGUUCUGGCAUCGAUGAAGAACGCAGCGAAAUGCGAUAAGUAGUGUGAAUUGCAGAAUUCAGUGAAUCAUCGAAUCUUUGAACGCACAUUGCGCCCCUUGGUAUUCCAUGGGGCAUGCCUGUUCGAGCGUCAUUUGUACCUUCAAGCUCUGCUUGGUGUUGGGUGUUUGUCUCGCCUCUGCGUGUAGACUCGCCUCAAAACAAUUGGCAGCCGGCGUAUUGAUUUCGGAGCGCAGUACAUCUCGCGCUUUGCACUCAGAACGACGACGUCCAAAAGUACAUUUUUACACUCUUGACCUCGGAUCAGGUAGGGAUACCCGCUGAAC
rnacentral:rRNA from 1 species